GAAAGCACCAACCAAGCUUACAUGCCCUAAUCCUAUUGCUAUUUAGUACCACCACAGCACCACCUCUUGUUCCCCCACCUCCCUCCCCCUCACGCUCUCCCACCGCCCCUAAACCCACCACAACCCAAAGGCCCACCAUACAAAAGUGUCCACCCAAUCACCACCCGCCCACCGUCACACCAACACCACUAUUUUCCCCAUUACAAAAUUUCAAAUGAUGACGAUGAUCGAAGAAUGACAAGAUAAUGGGCAAAGUCAGACAGAGGUGGACCUGCCCCCACCUCCUCCCACCUCUCUCUCUCUCUCUCUCUCUCUCUCUCGGGGUGGUGCGCGUAGGUUUACUUAACCCAACCCCCACCCUACCACCCUACCACCCCUGGCGCACGUUAGCCACCUCACCCCACACCUAAGCGGUGGCCUCAUCCACCGCUCAUCUCACACGCCCACCCUUAGAUCUCGAAAUCAGCCGCACACCCCUCCACCCACCCUCUUAAACACCCUACCCACAACCACAAUCAUGCUUCCAAACACCACUUUCUCCUCCUCCCUCCUCCCCCUUCCCUUUUUUCUCCUUCCCCUCCCUCCUUCUAUCCUGCGCCACCACCUUAUCCUACAUCCCCAGAUCCCACCCUAAGCAAAACAAUAUCCAUGGCUUCUCCACCGUCUUCCCCGCAGGACGACUCCAUCCUCCCUCUCCAAUCGGACCCACCGCAGGCCGUGCCGCUUGCUCUCCCGGCCCCACCGCUGACCCAAUCCCAGCAAACACAGCCGAACCCAACCCCGCCUUCCUCCCGCCGCCUCCCUCCUCCCUGCUGGUCCCACGACGAGACCGUCGCCCUCAUCGACUCCUACCGCGAAAAGUGGUACUCCCUCCGCCGUGGAAACCUCAAGGCCACCCACUGGCAGGACGUGGCCGACGCCGUCGCUCGGCGAUGCCCGGCUGCUUCUCCCGCGAAGACCGCCGUUCAGUGCCGUCACAAGAUGGAGAAGCUCCGGAAGCGGUACCGGACUGAGAUCCAGCGAGCCAGGUCGAUGCCGUUGUCCAGAUUCACGUCGUCGUGGGUCCACUUCAAGCGGAUGGACGCCAUGGAGAAGGGGCCGGCAGCUGGGAAGAGGGAAAACUCCGAAAGUCCCGGCGAAGAGGAGGAGAACGAGGAGAACGAAGAGGAGGAGGAUCCGGAUCAGGAGCUCUAUGAGGAGCUGAGGUACGGGUCGAAUAUGAAGAGUAUGAGUAAGUUGUAUAGGAAAUGGAGUUGGGGUUGGUGGCGGAAGUGGCGGAAGUGGUGGCGGUGCUGGUGCCGGAAGUGGGUUUAGGAUUAGGAUUCCAACUGGGGUUAGUAUAGCUCAGCCUGGGACCAAGGUGUAUCCGAAGAUGGAUCAGAAAUUCGGGAUGAAUUCGAAUCCAGCGUCGGUUUAUGGGAGUGCUAAGGUGAUGAGAGAGUGUGGGAAUUCGGGGAGGCCCGGAUUGGGGAAGAGAGAAGGGAAUGGGAGGGAGAGGGAGAGAGACCCCGUGGCGGAGAUGGUGUCGGCGAUUAAGCUUUUGGGAGAUGGGUUUGUGAGGAUGGAGCAGAUGAAGAUGGAGAUGGCGAGGGAGGUCGAGGCGAUGCGGAUGGAGAUGGAAAUGAAGCGGACGGAAAUGAUUUUGGACUCUCAGCAAAGAAUUGUGGAGGCUUUUGCGAAGGCGGUUUCGGAGAAGAAGAAGAAGGCCAAGAGAAUGCCAUCCCCUGAGGCAUAGAUGGUGGGAUUGCAUUGGAAGAUAGCAGCCGGUGGUGCUUUUGGAUCAUAGAGGGACUAGGUAAUGUGAGUUUAAUUAGUUGUAAUUUCGUGUUUAACUCUCGUUUACGAGCCACUUUUUACAAUUUCCUUUUGUUUUCAAAGUGUUGAGGGAAUGUGGAACUUGGUCACGUUAGCUUGGUUCUAGUCGAAGAUUGUAGCUUAGUCUUUGUAGCCUGUGGUCUCGCGUAGCGGAAACUAUGUAGAUUAGCUUUUUGUCUCGUGUAGUGGAAACUAUAUAUUCGAGAAAAAUGUUCUCUUGU